GACAACUUUUAUGUUCAAUUCACAAGCAUUACCUACCUGACCAGCCUUUUUCAGUUGCUGAAGAUAGUUGGAAACUGUGGCUCCCACCUAAAGAGAUAACCAUGCCUUUCAGAAUUUUCACGACAAGUGUCCCAAAGCAGUGUGGGCUGCACCAGUGCCGUGGAUGGCAGAGACCGACGUGCUAACUUCUUUGAAUGAAAGGUCUGUCCCAUGUAUUGCAAAUUGUCUGGCCUCCCUGCUUUCUGCCUGCUAAACACAAGUAAAACAUCCCAUCAUUGUGACAACAAAAGAGACCUUCAAAAAAUGCCAUCUGGAAAGCAGUAUACCCUGCUGAGAGCCACUGCUACAUGCAAACACAGAAUGUUCACCACAGGAAAAGAGCAAGAAGAGUGCUGAGCUCCUGCGCUGAUCAGGUUUCCCUGGAUGGGUAAAGCGGAGACUGUUGGUGAUUCCAGUGUGUCAUAGCACAUCACCUGAAGCCACCACAUCAGAAAGCCACUGCACAAACCCAGA